rnacentral:antisense_RNA from 1 species
CCGUCAUGGCUACUGUCAGUGAGGGCCCGUAAUGGAGAUCGAGUCAAGGGUUGCCCAGGGACACUUAGACCCUUCGGCUUCAAGGAGGCCUCUCAAAGGACAAAGGAUGAGACUGCCUGGCGGCAGAGUGCCCCCCACAAUCCUAGGAACUGUGUCGCCGCGCUUCCCGUUAACUUGCCGCUAAGUUUUUCUAGAAAAGUCGCCCUUCUUGCCAGGGGUGUCCUAUAGACUUUGUCAUGGAGUGAAACAGAAACAAAUACUUCAUAUACCCCUCAUGAUGUCAUGAGAUGACUGUUUGGAUUAAUCAUCUUCAGACCAAGACUCUUCAGCUGGCUUUGCUUUUUCAGAGGAAACAGAGACUCUCAGACAUGAAUACUGUGACACUGACCACCAGGCCAACUUAACAUCAGCAGAUAUCCUGUCUCAGAUGAAGAGAAUGGCCUGUCCAGAAGACAGCCAAAUACAUCCUUCAAAUAGACUUCACUGCAGGAGACAGAGUGGAUUCAUCCCGUAUUCUCCACAUGGACUUCCAUCUUCAUGAGUACUCCAAGAAGGUGGUUCAGUUGACUAUUGCAAAGUCUCAGGUAUGUCUUUAUCAGCAGCAUGAAAACGGACUAAUAGUACCAGUAGAGUGGGGCAUUGCUGAAAAGAUACCCGAAAAUGUGGAAGCAACUUUGGAACUGGGUGUUGAAAUAAUCUGGAGGGCUCAGAAGAAGAUAGGAAAAUGUGGGAAAGUUUGGAACCUCCUAGAGACUUGUGAAUGGCAUUGACAAAAAUACUGAUAGUGAUAUGAACAAUAAGGUCCAGGCUGAGGUGGUCUCAGAUGGAGAUGAAGACCUUGUUGGGAACUGGAGUAAA